UGCCACGGUGAAUACGUUCCCGGGCCUUGUACACACCGCCCGUCACACCAUGGGAGUGGGUUGCAAAAGAAGUAGGUAGCUUAACCUUCGGGAGGGCGCUUACCACUUUGUGAUUCAUGACUGGGGUGAAGUCGUAACAAGGUAACCGUAGGGGAACCUGCGGUUGGAUCACCUCCUUACCUGAAAGAAGC
rnacentral:rRNA from 1 species